rnacentral:rRNA from 1 species
UGGGGAAUAUUGCACAAUGGGGGAAACCCUGAUGCAGCAACGCCGCGUGAGUGAGGAAGUAUUUCGGUAUGUAAAGCUCUAUCAGCAGGGAAUAGAAAAGAAGGUACCUGAAAAAGAAGCCCCGGCUAACUACGUGCCAGCAGCCGCGGUAAUACGUAGGGGGCAAGCGUUAUCCGGAUUUACUGGGUGUAAAGGGAGCGUAGACGGAAAGGCAAGUCAGAAGUGAAAACCCAAGGCUCAACCAUGGGACUGCUUUUGAAACUGUCAAACUAGAGUACGGGAGAGGUAAGAGGAAUUCCUAGU